UACGGAGGGUGCAAGCGUUAUCCGGAUUCACUGGGUUUAAAGGGUGCGUAGGCGGGUUGGUAAGUCCGUGGUGAAAUCCCCAAGCUUAACUUGGGAACUGCCGUGGAUACUAUCAAUCUUGAAUAUCGUGGAGGUAAGCGGAAUGUGUCAUGUAGCGGUGAAAUGCUUAGAUAUGACAUAGAACACCAAUUGCGUAGGCAGCUUACUACACGAUCAUUGACGCUGAGGCACGAAAGCGUGGGGAGCGAACAGG
rnacentral:rRNA from 1 species